rnacentral:rRNA from 1 species
AGUACCUUUUGUAUUAGGGUUGAUUUAUGUGGUUUUGCUUUUGUUAUUUCUCGAUGAGUAUCGGGCUAUUUUUCUUUGGUUUAUUCUCGUUGUAUAGAGUUGAAUAGAGGAUUAUAGGUAUGAAAUAUUAUUCAAGUUGCUUUUUAUCUGGUUCUUCAAGAAAUUUAACGGUCGGUAGUAUUAUUAGGACUAUAAACAGGGAUUAGCUUGUUUAUUUUUUAUAUUUAGUUUAGGUUGUAGUUUGUUUGUUAAGUUGAUAGUGCUUAUUUUAAUGGAGUUAUUAUUGAGCAGGUUGGCUUUAUUAUUUUUUGUUUUUAUUUUUGUAUUAAGGUUAUUUUAUUAAUUUUUAGUGUUUUGUAAUAAUGAUUAUAUUAGUAAUAAUUUUUGUUAUUUUUUUAGCUUUUCUGGUUUUAUUGCUAAUUUGGUGGUAUUUUAAAUUAGAAUUGAUGAAUUAGGCAAUAUGAACUUCUGACUGUUUAGCAAAGACAUUGUUUUUUGUUGUGAUAAAAAAUAAGUUCUGUCCGCUGCUAUUAGGUGAAGGGCUGCAGUAUUUUGACUGUAUGAAGGUAGCAUAAUCAUUAGCUUUUUAAUUAGAAGCUGGUAUGAAGGUGAAACAGGGGUUUGCUGUAUUUUUUCUAUUUAUUGAAUUUUAUUUUCAUGUGAAAAAUCAUGAUUUAUUUAGUGGGACAAGAAGACCCUAAUAAGUUUUAUUUUUUUUUCUUAAUGCGUGUAUAGUUUUGGAUUUAUGCAAUUUAUUUGGGGGAGUUUGGCUGGGGCGGCAGUUUAUUUGACAUAGAUUAAUUUUUAACUUUUUGUGGCGAUUGUUUGGACCUAGUUUGUUUAGAUUAGAGUUAAAUUACUGUAGGGAUAACAGCGUGAUUUUUUUUGAGAGUUCU